rnacentral:rRNA from 1 species
AACGUAGGUGGCGAGCGUUAUCCGGAUUUACUGGGCGUAAAGCGUGUGCAGGCGGCUUGUCAAGUGGUGUAUGAAAUAUCCAGGCUCAACCUGGAGGGGUUAUGCCAGACUGGCAGGCUGGAGUGCGAGAGAGGGGCGUGGAAUUCCGGGUGUAGUGGUGAAAUGCGUAGAGAUCCGGAGGAACCCCAGAGGCGAAGGCGGCGCCCUGGCUCGCAACUGACGCUCAGACACGACAGCAUGGGGAGCGAACGGG